AAAUACAUAGAAGAAGAAAAAUGACGCAAGAUAACCAUGGAGAGCUUGCUAGGGAAGACAAAGUACAAUUCAUCCUGAGUUUUAUGAUAGAAGAAGCCGAUAAAUCGUGAAAUCAAGGUGGCUUUGGAUGAAAAAAAAACUCGGGAUCUUAGAAUGAAAGAUUUGUGCAAAUUUUGAAUUAGGGUGUUAAAUGGAAAGAGUAUAGAACACUCAAGUGAUAGUGGGUAGUUAUAUUUUCUUAAAGCAUUUUUGUUUCAAUAUUAUCUUGUCUUAAUUUUUUUUUUAAACUGUAAACAAUAAUUAUUCGACAGAAUUAAAUGUUUGUAGAUCACACAAUUUGAAAUAUCUCACCUUCGAAUAAGGGUAAUUGUCGAUGAAGACAAAUGAUUAUAAGAGUUUUGAAAAGUGCAAGUAUUAUCUGGUUUUAUUAUAAUUUAUAGAGGAGAAGGAAAAUAUGGCAAAAUAUAUAAGCUAAUGUAAAUUAUUUUAUUUAGAGAAAAAUUAGGAAGUGAGCAGUUGAAUAUUUUGGAGUGCGUUACAUCAUCAGACACAUUGUUCUCUUUUUUGACAAGAUAGGGGACUUCUCACUUGAGGGACACAUUGUCCUCUUCCACCCCUUGUGGUUUUACAGCUGUAUCCCUCACGCUUGGUUAAGAGAAACUAGAGGAUGGCUGCAUUUUUUUAUUUUAUUUAUUUUUUUCUCAACUUUUUCUUUGUUCUUUUUGCAAAGUUCUUAUGUUUUUAUUUGUUUUUUUCUCAGAGUUUAAGACAUUUGAAGAAAGUAUAAUUAUUACAAUAAAUUGUAAUUUGUUUUUCUCUAUAUUUUAACAUCCAUUUUCAUAUAUAUAUUUUAUAUAUUUCAACAAUUAUAUAAAAAAAUGUAUGGACAUAAGAAGUGUGGAUGCAAAAUUGUGAACAUGUAAGAAAAAUACGUAAACAUAAAAAGAUGUGGAUAUGGAUGGAUAAAAAAUAUAGAAAAUCUCUUUAAAAUUUUCGUGGAUGAGGUUUCAUGAACUAAGUUUCAUGGAUGUGUUUUCUUGGACAAGUUCUUAUAUUCCUAAUCAUCUUACAUAAUUUCUUAGUAUCUGUGGAGAAGUACUUUAUGCAUACCGUGUAGUUUUUAUGUACAUGUAUUUUGUGUAAGCCACUUUGGUGAACAAAUGGGUGUGGACAUGAAUAAUAAAAGUUUGGUCGUUAAAAAAUAUGGACAUGGACAAAACAAAUAUGAAAAAUGUGAAAAGAUAGUAGUACCCGAACAUAGAAUAGUGAAUUAUAUGGAUAAAUUCAUAUAUAUGUACAGUUUUGUGUGGACAUAUAAAUUUGGAUAUUCAAUCCUAAAAAUACACCUUGAACAUGUUUGUGUGAACGUAAGAUAGAGGGAGAUCUAGUUUAAAGUUUAAAAUCUUCCAAAGUUUUGUUGGGGUCAAAUUGAAAAUAGUCAAAAUUUAAAGGUGUAUCCUCAGUUCGCUUGCGAGACUUUCGUCAUGUUCAAUAAGAUGAGAAACGAUUUAUUCUAGAAUUGAUUCCAUAAGCUGUAACAGAAAGCACUUAAAGAACAACAACAAGAUCUUCAGAGUAAUCUUCGUUUUUUUUUUUGAGUUCUUCGAUUUCGUCAUGGUGACAGAGGAUGACAAAAAUUAAAGAAAAUUGGAAACUUGCAGAGAUAGAAAGAUUAGGAAAGAGAGAACCGAUAGAAGAUGGAAGAGAAAAAAUAGAUCUGAAAAUUGAUAGUGGGAGAGAGAAAAAGAAAUGAAUUUACAAAUUAGAAAUUUUUAUUAUUUUAUGAUACAUAAAGUAAUUAGAAAAGAGUGUAUUUGAGGGGUAGGUAAGACAUUCCACACAGAUAAUAUGUGCCUCCAAGCUCAAGUGUCUGAAUGUGUUAUUCCAAAGAUAUAACGUGUGGGUAAAAAUUUCAAUAUUUUGACUGCAGAGAAAUAGGAGAUGAAAAGAUUUUUUUUUAUUUAACUUUUUACAAAAUUUCGUCGCAUGUCAAAAUCUGAUUCACAAAAUGAUCACACUACUCGGACACAACCCAAAAUCAACUAACCAAAUACCCAAUAGAAAAUUAGAUUCAGCUGGAAAAGAGGAUGAAAAUCAAACUCCAUGCCAUAUAGAAGAAAUAAAAUCGUGAAAGACUUCAACUUUACAGAACCCAACACACAAACUUGAGUAUUCUCCAGAUCCAUUCCACAAACCAUUGAAACCAGUAAUUCUACCUUUUCAACUAAGGAUAGCUAAAUAUAACGAAGAACAUGGCGAACGAAGGCGAUGAUUUCAGUAAAUGUUGAGACGGCUAAAAGGUUAUAUGUUACGGAUCUUAAGGAAGAACACAAUGAAGACAAAACUCAAAACUUCAAUUAACGAGAUCUUAGAAAUUCAAAAAGGAAUCUUGUCGAUCUGAUCGACGGGAUGUCCGCUUGGACAUGCUGCCGGAAAUUUGAAAUCGGCACCGAUAUUGUCGUAGAUUGGAGAUUUGAGGAUGUGUCUCAAGGUGAUUGAGAAGAAAGUAAGUUUGUGGAGGUUUCGCCUGCUGUCGAGAAGAAAAUGGGGAAAAUCUGAAAUAUUAGAGGGAUAAGGAUUUAGUUGAAUUGCAAUUGAGAACAGACUCAGUUCCGUUCCGUUUCAUUUAGUUUAGGGUUUAUAGUGUCUUUUCUCUCUCUAGAAGUGUGUCGCCAGCGGUUUGUGUCCUAAGGUGUAAUUGCAAAGUGGAAAAAUGUCCGAGGGUGUAAAAAAAUUCUUAAGAGAAACGCGAGUAGUGCUUUGAUUUGGGUCACAUGUGUUAAAUGUGCCGGAUUUGAACUGAAAAUACGGUCGAGGGGUUGUUUGUAAAAGUAAAUAUAUUUAACAAAGGAAAGCAGAAGCCCUAUAACUUUACACCCACGUAUUCUGCAGAACAAAGAUGGUGAUGAAGUUUUCGCAAGGGAUUUUCGCCAAGGUAAGCAAGGUUUAAUCUUUUAUUCCGGAUCCUCCCUCCGAUUUCUCUAUUCGUUAUUUUAGUAUAUUGUCUGUGUCGUCCAGAUUUGGGGAUUUCAUCCAUUGCCUCUCCCCCCCCAUGUUCUCGAGGGUCAAGCAUGCUUUAGCUUUCUCGAAAAUUUAUGGAUACUGCUAUAUAGCGGCCUUUGGUGGUGCUGGAUUCCUGCUCGGUGGUGUGACAACAAGCCCCGUCUCAAAGGGGCUUCGGGAAAAUGAAAAGCUUUUCGUUUGAAGGUCUCCAACGUCUGGAAAAAAUGGAGGCCAGGAGAGGGAAGUGGACUGCCUCUCUUAAAGAGGAAACAAAGUGAUGGUAAUUGGUUGCGUCUGUUUGUUUCUGUUUCGUUUUUGUUUUUGAUGAACACAUUAUGUAAUAACUACUACUUCAUGGUUGUGGCUUUAAAUUUUAUAUCUUAAGCUAAGAGAGAGAGAGGAAAUUACAUUAUUUUUUUAACAUCAGCGGUAUUGUACCUUAGCAAUCAAGAUUAGCAUAGAGCAUGUACGCAUAUUAUAAAAGUCAAUUGGGGUUUUGGGAUCUUGCCAUAAAGAAUAUGAUGUAAAAAUGAAAAAACAAUACAAAUGAGCCAUCUGCAUAUAAAGCAUGAUAUAUAACACAACUAUAAAACUACGAAGAUGAUAAUUGAUAAGUCACUAUAAAAACGCUCAUGGUAGGAGACAACAGCACACAAUCAUCGAUCUCUCUCUUACAUUCAUCACUGUAAUAACUUUAAACACAAAUGACAACUUCAUCUGAAUCAACUCGCAAGGUUGGUUAGUAAGAAGCCUAUUGUAAAGAUUCAACAACAAUGUUCUCCGCUGACUCAUGGUCUGGAUAUUGUUCCCACUGUGAUGAUCUUCAGCACUUGGUGCCUCAACCGCGGCACCUUCUUUGCAAGAGACUUGGGGAUAUCGAGAUCAUCUUGAGCAUUAACAAUAACAGAAUUAUUUAUGCUAUAUAAACCGUCACUCUCAUAGCAUGUAUGCUUCCACAAUACUUUGGUUUGGGUCAUUUGUGUAUAAUGAGCCGGUUUUGGAUUCAGAAUCUUAGUUGGAUACAAUCAGAUUUAAAGGUAAAAUUAGCAAAAAUACACUUGAGCAUUAUUAAGUAAUGAUUUCAUAACAAUAAAAAAUUGAAAAGGCGCAUUUAAAAAAAAAGUAAUUAAAAUCGUUAAUAUUAAAAUUAAAAUAAGAAAAUUCGCUUAGAACAAAGUAGUAUUUAUGAAUGGCUUUACUAAAUUUUCAUUAUAUGAAAAAAAAUUGCUAAGAAAACAGAGUUUGUUUCCAAGAAAUUUUAUAAAAACUUAAAAGUACAAACAUGAUCAAUUUGUAGAGUUAAAAUACAUAGAGGAUAUAUUUAUUACAAAAAUCGAUUCAAUGAAUUUAAGAGAUACUGCUUUGAUUUGGGCCACAAGUAAAUAAACAUUACAAAGGAAAGCAGAAACCCUAGUUUUACACCCAAAGGAAGGACUCAACGGAACAAAAAAUGAUGAUGAAGCACGCGCAAACGAUUUUGGCCAAGGUUAAGCUAAGAAUUAUUAUUUCAUUCCGGAUCCCCCUCUCGAUUUCUCUAUUCGUGAUUGUAGUAUUGUCUGUGUCGCCGAGAUAUGCAGUAUUGUCGGAAAGGGAUUUCAUCCAUCGCCUCUUCCCCCCUGUCCUCGAGGGUCAAGCAUGCUUGGGAGGAGCAGGACAAAUUAGUUCUUGGUUUAGCGUUUAUUGGUGGAUGGUUUAGCAAAGCUCUCAUAAAUGUUUACAAGAGAAGAGAGGAUUGGUAUAGAAUACACAGAUUCCUCGAUGCUGAGAAAAAGCGUAUUGAAGAGACACGUGCCCUUAUUCGAAAGGAAAUGAAGAAAUUGAAGGAACUGGAUGUUUGAUGUCUAGGCUGCAAUUUAUUGUCUUUUGUUUUGGGUUGUUUGGUGUUUUAUCUGCACUCUCUCUCGUACUACUCUAAUGGUGGCUUGCUUCUUGUCUUGUGUUCGUUUGGUGUUUUGAAACUGUUUUAUUUUCAUCCCCUAUAUAUGUUGCCACUUGCAAACCUACGCUACUUUUUUUUUAUACGUCGUUGUAUCUCUGACAAAACAAUUUUUUUUACCAUGGUGCUUUGAAAAAAGAAUUUCUUUACUUUUCAUUUGUGGUUGAACUACAAAAUAAGGAGCUUCAUUUGUGGUUGAACUACAAAAUAAGGAGCUACAUCACAUCAUCGAAAAGAAGAAGCAAGUGUUUCAUUGUUAUCAAUCUUACAGUUUCCUACAACAAUAAUAUAAAUUUUUUUAUCAAUAUAAAUCUAGAUAUCAAAUUUUUCUCGGUGUCCAUAUUUUAAAGAUUCUAUUACGUAUUCGCUAUAGAUGGAAAGAACAAUGUGAAAGAAGAUGACAAGGACCUCCAACUAUGCUCAACCAUACGUAAAUACUCUUUAUAUAAUUGUUAUUGUAAUACUAUAUAUAAUGAAAUUUUGAACUUAUUAUUGUAUAGUUAAUAACAUCAAAUACUUUCACUUUAAAAAAACAAACAUCAAAUACUGUAGUUUGAUCACUACGUAAGGAUUCGUCAAAUAUUAGCAUAUGUGUUUUUCGGCUGUAAAACUUUGGCCGUAAAAUCUUAGCUCUAGAUUUUCUUUUUAAAGCACGAUUGGUAUACAUUAGCUGUAGAUUAGUAUUAUAUAUAUAUAUUAAACAACAUACUAAUAGAAACAAAAUAAAACUUAUAAUAAUAAUAAUUUUACUGAAUAAAUAAAAAUAAAGAAUUCUAAAAAAAAAACCAUUUAAAAAAAAGUAAAAAAAAAACUUUUAAUAUAAUAAUAAAUCAAUAGCUAGUCUAUCCACGAGUAUUCCAUAAAUCCAUUGCAAUGGUGGUGCGUUGGUUGCACCAACAUUGUUUUCACCAUUGUUAUUUGCCAUAUCUUACAAAUAUUAUUAAAAUGUAUAUUAAAUUAGAUCAAAUAUAACCAUACUUAAAAAGAAUUGAAAAAUACGAGAGGAAAAGAUAGUUAAAAACUAGAAGAAAUAAUAGUUCAUGCUCUAAUGACUACAACAAACAAUCUAAUAUACAAUUUAAAAACUAGUUCAUAAUCAAAUUAAUAUGACACGAACAUAAAAGAAAACCAGAUGAACUUGUGUAAUAUUAAGCGUAACAUAUUAUUGGUUUUCUUUUCCAUGGAACUAGUGUUCAUAAUCAAAUUUCAUCGUACAUCAAUAACAUAAAAGAAGACCAGAUACGAUAACAUAAAAGAAGACGAAGAGAUGGGUUACGUACCUUCUUGUUGCCUCUUCUUAUUCUUCUUGUUCUCUCUGGAUUUUUUUGGCUCUCUUACGUAGGUAGUAUAUAUAUGUUUACAACUAGGGCUUUUAGUUUUAGUGUUUAUCUCAGGUUUCGUUAGUGUUUAUCUUAUUUUUUGAAUAAAAGUUAAAUAAAAUAUUCAUUUUUUCUUUUGGAAAGCUCACAAAACUGAGCCGUAGAGAAUUUGCUUUUCAGAGCCGUAAACUAAAGCAAAAUAUGGAUUUGGCUGUGAGUUUUAAAAAGAUAACCAGAGCAUGAUUGUUUUGAUUUUGGGGCUGUAGAGAGAUUUGAAGCUGUCUAGAGCACUCACGGCACUUACCAAUCACCCCCUGUAUAUAGGGGUUGAUUGGUAACUGCUGUGAUUUCAUUUUUUGACUUUAGAAAUAUUGCUGUGGUUUUUAUUGCUUUGGCUUUAGAUUUUUAAUUUUUAAAAGUCUUUAAAUAUGGGCUGUAGGUUUUUGUCUCUGCAGAGAAAUUGUAAAGACAUAAUUUCAAAGAAGUGCUGUGGAUUUUAUAAAAAGGCUGUGAACUUAAAAAAAAAUAGAAAUCAAGAUUGGUGUAGAUUUAGUGCUCUAGAAAGAAAUGAGGCUGUAGAGAGCACUCACAGCCACUACCAAUCACACCCAUAAUGAAAUUAUGAAUACUGUACUUUGAUCACUACGUAAGGAUUCGUCACUACGUAACGUAGUUUGAUCACUACGUAAUUUUGAAUACUGUAGUUUGAAAUUUUGUCGAAUACUACAUCAAAUACUGUAGUUUGAUACCUACGUAAGGAUUCUUCGAAUACUAUAUAUAAUGAAAUUUUGAACUUAUUAUUGUAUAGUUAAUAACAUUGAAUAUUCGUCGAAUACUAGUUUACUAAUACAUUUAUUUUUUCUGUAUUCAUAUAGGAAACUUACACACUAGGAUGAUGAUUUUGGCAAUGUUUUGGAAAAGAAGGAAAUAUUAUAAAAACCUAAUAGAUUUGACUCGUGCAAGGCACGGGAGUAAUACUAGUUAAUCAUAAAUUUGGAACCAAGAUCCUCAAUCUCGAAAACCCUAGACUCUCCAAUUCGACGAGGACAAAAGAAGAUGUUGCGUUUCCUGGGAAACACAUUGGCUAAGUCUUGUGGCAAGGGGAGGCUACAGUAUCGUGAUUUUUCAUCCGUGAGUGAUCAGAAAGCUGUCUCGAAAUUUUAUGGAUACUGCUUUAAAACGGUCUUUGGUGGUGCUGGAUUCCUGCUCGGUAUGUGGUUUGUAAGCUUUUUUUUUUAAUUAUUAUUAUUAUUAUUUAUUUUGGUUUCAAUAGAAACAAUCUUCUUCAUAAAACUCUGUUGUUUGGGUUUUUCUUCAAAGGGACUUCGGCAACUUGAACAGGUAAAUAGCGUGGUUAAACUGUUAAAAGUCUUUUCUUCUUUCUUUCUUUCUAAUCUUCCCUAUAUAAUUCCUCUUCUCGUUUUUUUGUCAGGUUUACAUCGAAGAAAUGCCAAAUGCGGAUGAAAUAGAGGCCAGGGUGGCCAAGUUGAUUACCUUGAGAGAGGAAUUAAUGAAGUGAUGGUAUUUGGUUGGGUCUGUCUGCUUGUUUCUGUUCUGUCUUUGUUUGCUGUCGUUUUUGAACAUUAUCUGCCAAUCAAUGUAAUGACUUACUUCAUGAUUGUGUUAUAUGUGGGCUUAGAUAAAGAUCCAACCCUUUAAAUCCUUUCCUAAGUACAAAGCUGAGAGAUGGUGAGAGAUUGGCAAUCCAACUAGGUACUUGUAUAAAUCGUCUCCCGUCAGUUCCCCUUAGGGAUGUUAAAAUGGUAAAAUCCAACUCAUUUAAACCCACCCCGUUUAAGACCCACCCCAUUUAAAAUCCAUAUCCGUUUAGAUCCAUUUAAAAAUAGAUCUAUUAGGUGUACCCAUUUAGAUCCACAAAUUUUGUACAAACCCAUUUAGGUGAUGAUUGUUUGUUUGGUUUCUAGUUUUUGGAUUUUGGUUUUUGGUUUUUAAUUUUUAGUUUUUGGAUUUUAGAUUUUGG